CCUUAAAGAGACAGGCACGGCGGGACCCCUCGGCCUCGGGAGCAGCGACGUUGCCCCAGCCCUGCAGACCCCCGGCGGCCGGCGCCUGCCCGGGCCGGGCGAGGGCAGUGGCUCCCCGUGACGGCGCUGAACGCCGCGCGCUCUCAUGCCUUCCCCCCCCCCCCCCCAGCUGUACUUCACGGACAGGAUCCUUAUUCUGGGAAGCGGUUCCAGCAAGAAGGUGUUGUCUCCUCGUAAGAAUAGGGCUUUAAGACUUCACGUUUCAGUGGCGAAGGUACUGCGACAUUGGAUGGGGCGUUUUUUCUGCCGGCGUCAGGCGGGCAGCAGAGUCCCGAGCCCCUGGAAACGAGCUGUGGAGAGGAAGGGAUCGGGGAAAAGGCUCCCGCGGCUUGGCUGCCGCGGCUGGAGAGCACCGCAGGCUCCAGGAAGUGUCUUCCCAGGCCUGCUGCGGUGCCGGCAAGCUGCAACGUGAACGCCUGAUUUUCCCCCCAAAAAGAGUUAGGCAUCUAGUGGUGCUGUGUCCUAAAACGACCCCAGGACCGUUUUUCUGCCAACCUCCAUAGCAGGCAAUGCCGUGCGGUGAUGCACACAUGAGGUAUAGGCUCAGGGCUUUUUUCCUGUCUCUGCGCUUUUCGUGCUUAGUUUUGUUCUUAAGCAGUUUGUAUUCCUGAUGAGCUGCAGUAUAAAUCCACAUGUGAAAUGGAUGUGGUUUAGUUGCAUCAAUUGUGGUGCCCAUAUCCCAAAUCUAUAGUCUCAAAACUUGCACUUGGCUGUUAGUACUCUAUUUCUUAUAGUUAAAUUAUAUAUACUGAGAUUUUUGGUCGUAAAUUCUCUUUUUUGUUGACAGAGGUCUGGCUAAGGCCUGCAACUGCCAAGCAUCCGUCCUCAAUGGGGCAUGCCAUCCAGGUGUUGCCUUGCUCAUGGGAGCUCCAAGGGCUGGUCCAGUAGUCAGGAGCUCAGAACUCUGAAGCAGAGUAGCAGUCGUCCUGAUAAAGGUGGUAGUGACAUCAAUCUUCCACCACUGCCUAGGGCUCAGAGGAACAGGAGGCACCUAUGGAAGUGACUCCUUUUUCUGAAAUAGAGUCUAUAACCAAAAUCUGUUUCCUCUGUGGUGAGUGCUAUAACCACUAGCAUCUGGAUGGCAGCUCAUUCCUUAUCCUUUUGAAGAACCUUUUUGCUUAAAGUGGUAGCAGAACACUUCCAACUCCUCUGAAAUAGAGGACAUCCACCACGUACCAGGAUCAAGUCUUGACAGUCAGAAGUAUAGCUGCCGUAUUUGCAAAUAUGCCUGUCACCCAAGUGCCUGAAAGAUGUGCAAGAACAGAACAACUCACUCUGCAGAGCUGCAGGCAUCUCUGGAAAUGUGAUGGAUGAGCUUAGAGGAUUUCACCAUUAUAUCCGCAACCUGGAGGAGGACAAGUCCAGUUGUGAAAUAAACACUGUAUCUGAAGAAAUUGAAUUCUGCAAAUAACAGGAGGAUUUGCUGUUACUUGUCGCCUGCAUGAGUCUGGCAUGAGGUACAGACCUCCAAGGAGAAAGUACUAGAAACAACCUCAACGGGGAGUCCAGAGUAUCUUCUGUGGGAUGGAGAACUGCCAUCAGUCUCCUGGAGUGGAGAAAAAUGGAUUCUGGAAGCAAAUUGAAAUGGUGCCUGCCAUAACAGAGUUCCUAUCAGACAAAGGAAGAAUAAAGCUGAAGAUAGCGAAUUAAUAGUACCCCCUUUAACAACAGUCACUUACUUCCUGCAAUCAAAACCAUGCUAGCAUGUGGCCUGUUCAAAUAAAAAUUACUGGACCAGAGCCAAACACGAAAAAGUAAUUGAUAAUGUGGUCUUUCAGAACUCAACCAUCCAUCAAAUGUGUCACUCCUCCAUAAUAGUUUAUUGCCCCUUCUGAACAAAGAUCUUUAAAAUUCAUUGUAUGCACUUAAAAACAAAGUGUCCUUGUCCUGGUUUAUAAUGAUUCUCUUUUAGUUUGGGUUUGUUUUGUUAUUUAAUUACAUUCUCUUCUGUUGUGCAUAUUUGUACAGAUAGUGGCUGGAAGUUUCGGCUGCUCUUAAACAAAGAAUCUUUUGUGCUGUAUCAGCUUGCAUUUUCCUUGGAUUGUGUUGUGCUGGUGUCUUUUCACUAAUUUCAGCACUGGACUAUUGUAGUCAUAGCUUCCCUAAGUAGACUGUAACAAACAGAUUCAUUGGCCCUUUUGUCUGUGCUGCAUCUUAUUAACCAAUCCAUGGGAAAUACUCUUUAUGUUGUUAAGGUGUAUGCAGUAAUGCAAACGAUAAAUUAACCUUAAAUAGAGAAAGCUUUGAGACUUCUAAUACAGUAACCUAGCAGAAACCAGUUUAUAAAAGCUUUCUACCUACCAAAUUUCAUGGAUAUUUUUGUUAAAAUGUGCUGUACCUAUUUUCUACACCAACAUUUUACUAUUAACUUUACAAAACAGAUAUUAUGAAUAAUGCUCUGUAAAUUCCUAAUAUGAGAUAGCAAGGGAGAGAUAAAUACUAGAUUAUUUAAUUGAAUUAGUGUAUUUGUUUAUCCUCACAGUUUAAGAACAACAAUGAACACAAUCAUAGGAAGAUUAUUAUUCUGAAUUAGAGAGCAGCAUUUACAUAUCUAUUGCACCAGUUUUAUAGGGGCUGCUAAUGAUAACCUUCAAAUUACAGACCACAAUCUAGGUGAGAGGUCAAGUCCUGUCAUGCUAAUUAAUUCAUAAAUAAGUACUUCGGAAUCUAAUGUUUAGAUUGCUUUUUUUUUUAUUAUAAAGUGUUGAAGCUCACAACUUUUGUACUGAGCAGGAUGUAAUUACUCAUGAUGAUGCAGGAGUAACUGCAUCUUGAGUAGGCAGAGAUAAGGAUGGAUGUGCAGUUUUGGUAACAGACAAGAACUAGGGUCAUACUUGAAUGAAGAGCCACUCUCCCUGCUCUCCUUAAAUGAGAUAUGCAUGGUCUCUGGAUCCGGUGGGGGGGAGGGCUUUGUACUCACACAUUGUUUCUAACCCAUCCUUUCACUUUAGGGAAUUCUUUAGUUAUGGAUUCACACUCAGUUUGUUUCUGAAAGAAAAAGAACUGCAUCACCUACUCCCUUUCCUGGAAACUAAAGGCCCAAAAAGAACAAAAAUAAUUUUACAAAUCCUGCACCUAGGACUUAAAUGUAAUAAUCUCAGCCCAAAGUCCGAUUUAUCAAACAGAGUGUCUAGAUCUUUGAAUCAAGUAUCAAGUCAAAGUAGGGAGCAAAUAAAUGGGUAUUAGAAGUGUGUUACCAGCUCUGCCACUCACUACCUGGCUUUGGACAAUUUAUUUUCAGUUUUGCUAAGGAAGCGUGCUAAGUCUUGCAGUAAUUAAUAUUUGUACAGGGCUGUGGAAUCUGUAAAUUAUUUAUUAUGUAUCAGGAAGAGACAUCUAUAUUGCUACAUGUAAAUCCACGAACUCCUGCAAGACAUGCAAUUUUUGUGUCCCCUGGCUUUUAUAGAAUUGCAGAAGUUUCCUCGACAUCAACAAUUGUUCUUGUGUCAUACUACCUACAUAUCUGGCAAUCUGAGAAGUAGCCCCGAGAAGCUCUGAUCUAAUAGCUGUAACUGACUCAAUAAAAUGCUUUAAGCAUUUGCUCAACUUCAAGCCCAUGAGUUGUGCUAUUAAUUCAGUGGAGAUAGCCACUAGAUGAAAAUUAAGCUCAUGCCUAAAUGCCUUGCUGGACUUCUACCAAGUUGUUAGGUGUAUGAUUUAGGUACCUUUCUUAAACUUGCUGAGAUUAGCUCUCCUGAUUUAAAAAUUUAUGGUCUGGCUGAAAGUGGUGGUAAUCUUAGAUUUCUGUGAAACACAGUUUGAGGCAAGAGAUCCCUCAAUAUCUUCUACUGAUCUAAACAUUGACUAAUUUCUAUUUGAUUAUCUUAAUUUUCAAAAUGCUACAUUUUAUGCCUCACACUCUUGUAGCUCAUAUUUAGUCAUUUUAUUUCUCUCAACACAAGGCUAAGACCUAUAAUGCUAUAAACCAUCAUGCCUCAGGCAACUGCAAUAAGGCUACUGCAGUUUACAUGUUUGAAGGUCUGGCUGCUGCUCAGUUCUACUUUUAACAUCAGUGUUACCAUUUGUACUACAGUAUGUAAGUAAGGCAUGUAGAAACAUAUGCUGCAUCUUCCACUUAUGGAGCAGUCUCAGUUAAUUGCAAGGAGCCUAUUGCAAUUAAUAGGCACUACUGAACAGUGCAUAUUGGCUUGCAUUAUCAGGCUUGUAGUCUGUAUUUUAAAGCUGAAAAAUAAGGCUUUUAUUUUAAAGUUGGUAUUUGGGGGCUUAUCUCUAUAAUAACAAAUCUCUGCAUAGCCAUAAAAUUCCAAGGUGUAAUUUUAAAAAAUGUAAGGUAGUAAGUACCAAGAAGUGUGUUUUUUAAGUAAAAACAGUCCUCUGGUGUUUUAUCCAACACCAUUCCAAGCAGUGAUCUGAAAUUUGCUGUCACAGGUCAAUACUCAAAACGGUAAUGAUUCAUUUGCUCUAUGGAUUGUUUUGUUUCCUGUUGAAUAGGUAAAAGUGCAGACCACUGAACAUUUUUGAUACAGGAAUAUUUGUACUGGAAAGGUGCCGCUUCUCUUAGUUACUACAUUAAAAAAAGUCUUUUGCAAUAAAAAGUGUUUUGUUAUUAUUCUAAACAAUAAAAUAUCAGUUAAAAACAGAACAGAUUUUUUUUUUCCAAUAUUAAUCUCAUUUGAAAGUUUAGAUUUAUCAAAGCAUUUCAUGUUUACCUAAAAUCCACAUUGUCUGCUCCCUUGAGAAGUCUGUAAUGCACUCAGGAAAGACUGAGCAUCAGAAAAUACAGAUUCAAAUGACAAAGUAAAAUUCAGGAAAAAAAGCUCUGGUUUUCCUUUGGUAGUAGAUAUGCAUGUUGUUUAACAUUAGUGAUAUAUGUCUUAUGCAUACGUUAUGCAUUUCCAUUUGUACCUAUCUGAAUAAUAUACCUUCUGUUGUUCAAAUGUGUAGCAUGUAUAGUCUCUCAUUCAAAGAUACUUCUGCUGUGUAUUGAAACAUUAAAAUCUUCCAUAUUUCACCUGAAGAGAAGUACAACAUUGUAGAACUGUAAUUCUUUACUGAAGUUAGGGAGUUUUCUUUGUAGUUAAUUGGAUAAAAUCCAUAUAGUUUAUGUAUGACUUAAACUUUGCCUGAGUAGAAAAUGGCAUUGUUCAUUAAUGAAUAACAAAUCCGCACAACAGCUUGGGACAGGAAUUGAAGUAUUGUCUACCUUUAUGAAAUCAUAGAUGGAAUUUAGAAAGCUACAAUGCAAUUAUUAGAACUGGAGCAUGGCCAAGAUCCUUGAGUUAACUUCCCUGUUCUUAUUAGAAGCUAUAUAUUAGAUCUCAUUUCUUGUCUAUCUCUGCUAUAGAUUUGCUGU